AUUGAACGCUGGCGGCGUGCCUAAUACAUGCAAGUCGACCUUAGUGGCGAACGGGUGAGUAACACGUGGGUAACCUGCCCAUCAGAAGGGGAUAACACUUGGAAACAGGUGCUAAUACCGUAUACUGAUGGAUGGACCCGCGGUGCAUUCGCUAGUUGGUGAGGUAACGGCUCACCAAGGCCACGCUGCAUAGCUGACCUGAGCGGGUGAUAGGCCACACUGUGACUGAGAAACGGACCAAACUCCUACGGGAGGCAGCAGUAGGGAAUCGUCGGCAAUGGACGAAAGUCUGACCGAGCAACGCCGCGUGAGUGAAGAAGGUUCUCGGAUCGUAAAACUCUGUUGUUAGAGAAGCGGUAUCUAACCAGAAAGCCACGGCUAACUACGUGACAGCCUCCGCGGUAAUAC
rnacentral:rRNA from 1 species